GAUGAACGCUGGCGGCGUGCUUAACACAUGCAAGUCGAACGGAAAGGCCCAAGCUUGCUUGGGUACUCGAGUGGCGAACGGGUGAGUAACACGUGGGUGACCUGCCCUUCACUUCGGGAUAAGUCUGGGAAACUGGGUCUAAUACCGGAUAGGACCACCUUCUGGAUGGUGGGGGGGAAAGUUUUUCGGUGUGGGGUGAGCUCGCGGCCUAUCAGCUUGUUGGUGGGGUAAUGGCCUACCAAGGCGUCGACGGGUAGCCGGCCUGAGAGGGUGUACGGCCACAUUGGGACUGAGAUACGGCCCAGACUCCUACGGGAGGCAGCAGUGGGGAAUAUUGCACAAUGGGCGCAAGCCUGAUGCAGCAACGCCGCGUGGGGGAUGACGGCCUUCGGGUUGUAAACUUCUUUCGCUAGGGACGAAGCGCAAGUGACGGUACCUGGUGAAGAAGCACCGGCUAACUACGUG
rnacentral:rRNA from 1 species